UAAGCAUAUCAAUAAGCGGAGGAAAAGAAACUAACAAGGAUUCCCCUAGUAGCGGCGAGCGAAGCGGGAAAAGCUCAAAUUUGUAAUCUGGCGUCUACGACGUCCGAGUUGUAAUCUCGAGAAGUGUUUUCCGUGAUAGACCGCAUACAAGUCUCUUGGAACAGAGCGUCAUAGUGGUGAGAACCCAGUACACGAUGCGGAUGCCUAUUACUUUGUGAUACACUUUCGAAGAGUCGAGUUGUUUGGGAAUGCAGCUCAAAUUGGGUGGUAAAUUCCAUCUAAAGCUAAAUAUUGGCGAGAGACCGAUAGCGAACAAGUACCGUGAGGGAAAGAUGAAAAGCACUUUGGAAAGAGAGUUAACAGUACGUGAAAUUGUUGGAAGGGAAACACAUGCAGCCAGACUUGCUAUUCGGGGCAACUCGAUUGGCAGGCCCGCAUCAGUUUUUCGGGGCGGAAAAGCAUAGAGAGAAGGUAGCAAUUUCGGUUGUGUUAUAGCUCUUUAUUGGAUUCGCCCUGGGGGACUGAGGAACGCAGCGUGCUUUUAGCAUAAGCUUCGGCUUAUCCACGCUUAGGAUGCGGGUGUAAUGGCUGUAUAUGACCCGUCUUGAAACACGGACCAAGGAGUCUAACAUGCUUGCGAGUAUUUGGGUGUCAAACCCGGAUGCGCAAUGAAAGUGAAUGGAGGUGGGAAGCGCAAGCUGCACCAUCGACCGAUCUGGAUCUUUUGAGAUGGAUUUGAGUAAGAGCAAGUAUGUUGGGACCCGAAAGAUGGUGAACUAUGCCUGAAUAGGGCGAAGCCAGAGGAAACUCUGGUGGAGGCUCGUAGCGGUUCUGACGUGCAAAUCGAUCGUCAAAUUUGGGUAUAGGGGCGAAAGACUAAUCGAACCAUCUAGUAGCUGGUUCCUGCCGA
rnacentral:rRNA from 1 species